AGGACGAACGCUGGCGGCGUGCUUAACACAUGCAAGUCGAACGGAAAGGCCCUUCGGGGUACUCGAGUGGCGAACGGGUGAGUAACACGUGGGUGAUCUGCCCUGCACUUCGGGAUAAGCUUGGGAAACUGGGUCUAAUACCGGAUAUGACCAUGGGAUGCAUGUUUCGUGGUGGAAAGCUUUUGCGGUGUGGGAUGGGCCCGCGGCCUAUCAGCUUGUUGGUGGGGUGAUGGCCUACCAAGGCGACGACGGGUAGCCGGCCUGAGAGGGUGUCCGGCCACACUGGGACUGAGAUACGGCCCAGACUCCUACGGGAGGCAGCAGUGGGGAAUAUUGCGCAAUGGGCGAAAGCCUGACGCAGCGACGCCGCGUGGGGGAUGAAGGCCUUCGGGUUGUAACCCCUUUCAGCAGGGACGAAGCGAAAGUGACGGUACCUGCAGAAGAAGCGCCGGCUAACUACGCGCCAGCAGCCGC
rnacentral:rRNA from 1 species